rnacentral:tRNA from 1 species
GGAGGUGUCCGGGCGCCUGGUGGGCCCCACCGCCUUCAAAGCGGCUGAUCGUGGUAUCCCCACGAUGGCGGGUUCGAUUCCCGUCCACCUCCG